GACGAACGCUGGCGGCGUGCUUAACACAUGCAAGUCGAACGGAAAGGCCCUGCUUUUGUGGGGUGCUCGAGUGGCGAACGGGUGAGUAACACGUGAGUAACCUCCCCUUGACUUUGGGAUAACUUCAGGAAACUGGGGAUAAUACCUGAUAUGAGCUCCUGCUGCAUGGUGGGGGUUGGAAAGUUUCGGCGGUUGGGGAUGGACUCGCGGCUUAUCAGCUUGUUGGUGUGGUAGUGGCGUACCAAGGCUUUGACGGGUAGCCGGCCUGAGAGGGUGACCGGGCACAUUGGGACUGCGAUACGGCCCAGUAUGCUACGGGAGGCAGCAGUGGGGAGUAUUGCAGAGUGGCGGGAAGCGUGAUGCAGCAACGCCGCGUGCGGGAUGACGGCCUUCGGGUUGUAAACCGCUUUGGACUGUGACGAAGCGUGAGUGACGGUAAUGGGUAAAGAAGCACCGGCUAACUACGUG
rnacentral:rRNA from 1 species